rnacentral:rRNA from 1 species
GACGAAGGGGGCUAGCGUUGUUCGGAAUUACUGGGCGUAAAGCGCGUGUAGGCGGUUGCCCAAGUCGGGUGUGAAAGCCUUGAGCUCAACUCGAGAAAUGCACUCGGUACUGGGUGACUAGAGGACCGGAGAGGAUAGUGGAAUUCCCAGUGUAGUGGUGAAAUACGUAGAGAUUGGGAAGAACACCAGUGGCGAAGGCGGCUAUCUGGACGGUUUCUGACACUAAGACUCGAAAGCGUGGGGAGCAAACAGG